rnacentral:rRNA from 1 species
AUGAACGCUGGCGGCGUGCCUAAUACAUGCACGUCGCGCGCACAGACGAGGAGCUUGCUCCUCUGACGUUAGCGGCGGACGGGUGAGUAACACGUGGAUAACCUACCUAUAAGACUGGGAUAACUUCGGGAAACCGGAGCUAAUACCGGAUAAUAUAUUGAACCGCAUGGUUCAAUAGUGAAAGACGGUUUUGCUGUCACUUAUAGAUGGAUCCGCGCCGCAUUAGCUAGUUGGUAAGGUAACGGCUUACCAAGGCAACGAUGCGUAGCCGACCUGAGAGGGUGAUCGGCCACACUGGAACUGAGACACGGUCCAGACUCCUACGGGAGGCAGCAGUAGGGAAUCUUCCGCAAUGGGCGAAAGCCUGACGGAGCAACGCCGCGUGAGUGAUGAAGGUCUUCGGAUCGUAAAACUCUGUUAUUAGGGAAGAACAAAUGUGUAAGUAACUAUGCACGUCUUGACGGUACCUAAUCAGAAAGCCACGGCUAACUACGUG